ACCAGGUGUCUGUAAUUGCCAAAUUAAGGGAAUGGCUUUUGGUAUAAAAGCUGUGUGUGGUUUCUCAUUUGGGAGAUCUAGUGUUCCGUGUGCAGACUGGCAGGCCUUGGGAAGAUGGCAUGUGUUUUAGGGUUGUAAUAUUUGCAUUGCUUUGGCCAGAAGAUCUGAAACAUAGUAUCAUUGUGAUACCUAGUGGAAUAUUAUGAGGCUGUAACGACAUCACCAUGUUUAUCAAAUGACAAUCUUCAGAGCGCUACGUGUUUGAUGUUGUGGAGACCGAUGUGCCCAAGAACAAGCUUGCAUUGAAUUGCUGAGCUAACAAAAUGUAUUGUUGUAUUAUUUCUGGUCUGAUUAUUCCCGUGAUGUAAAGAACCUGUGCAUUUUUUAGUUUAUCCCUGAGGACCUUGAGUAUAAAAAAAAAGUGUCUUAUUAUUGGCUACAGGAAUGGUUCUGUAUGUGUAAAUCCCCUAUAUUACACAUUCAUGGAGGACCAGGUCUCAUGGUUACAAACUUCACUUCGCUUUUGAAUCUGAGUUUCCCGUGAUUACAUAACUGUAACUGCCUUGAGUAAUUGAGGUCUGGAGAUCUACAAUGGUCCUGUAGUAGCCUACAGUAGGAAGUCAUAGCAUGAAAAGGGUUAUAGAGCUUAGAAACACGUCUUCUACUGAUAAAACAUUACUUAUGGAUAAUGUUUCUGACAGAUUUUGCCAGAUCCAGCUGCUUUGUAAAGUAAGUUUUCUCAGCGGGAUUAGGAAUGUGUUGAAUUCAACGGUGGUACUAACUGGAAGGAAAUGACUCUGUCCGUUUACUGCCUGGUACACUCCGGAAAUAUCAGAGAUCAUUCAUAAGAGACGAUGCUUGGGUCAAGGCCAGGAACCCAAGCUUGGGCCCGGACUGGCAAGCUUUUAAGCAACUGAGGUAUCAUUGUGUAAGACGAAUCAGAAAGGCUGAAUCUGAUUAUGAUGUAACCGCUCUAUAAAUUCUGUCACAUGAUUGGUUAACUCUUGAGGUUCCUAGGAUCUACACCAAGCUAGGUAAAUUUGAUUUUAAUUUUAAUGCACCGUAUUGCUGGAACAAAACUCUAAAUACAUUUCAUCUUGAUGUUCUGAUGCCGUUCGUCAGUUUAAAGUAUUGAUCAGGGACUUAUUUGUGGAGUAAUGUAACUGUUUUUCUGGGUGAUUUGAGAUGUUUUAUUUGCGCUCUCCAUUACUGCAUUUUUGAGUGUGUGGCACAUUUGUAUAUGAGACCUAAGUCUCAAUAUGUCUUCGCUGUUAAAAUACAAAAAAUACAUCUCUUGUCUCUAUAGAUAGGAGGUAUUUUAUUAUAGCUAACCUGACUUCACCUGCGUCAUGGCAACAGACCCGCUCAGCAUGCACUGUACAUUGACCUUAGCCCCGGCCGGAUUUGAACCCUGCAAAACAACCCGAAACACAAAUGAAAGUCAGUGUAGUUGGAAAUGAACCAACAUUCCCCACAUCCUUCAUGUAAACACUUAGCGUGAACCUCUAACAUUUCUACAGACCAACUGUUUACGGAAGUGCCGUCCUGACGUACCACAUGCAGGACCGCGGCUUAACAAGCCAGUGU
rnacentral:lncRNA from 13 species